rnacentral:lncRNA from 1 species
GGGUUGAAUCGGGACUCCCUUUUCGGGAGUUUGCUGAUGAAGAUGAGUCCAGUGGCACCGUGACCACAGGACGGAGAAUACAACCUCCCCCUCCUUCUAGCGCCAAAUGAUAACGCCAAAUCCCGUUCCGGUGCUUCCUCCGCCGUGUACUGGUGUCUUGCGGUGUAGCUGCUGGACGGGUGUCUGCAAAACAACACCGGAGGGGGGUUUGAGCCCCGCGGCGCCUCCGGCGUGAGAAUGAGUACAGGCGUCGGAAAAUAUAUAGACG